GCUAAUAUCUUGAAGCUAAAAAGCAAGGCUUAAUUGCGACAGAUGCUGCAAAUUCCAGUGCAAAAGGCCAGCUCCUAUGUGAUCUAAACCAGGGAGGCACAUCCAGACCUGGAGAAGAGGACCACAUGUUGCCGAGAGAUGGAAACAUAUUUGCUCUCAUAGCAGUAGAAUUGUUGGCUGUGUGCUCAACAUGACUCAGCUCAACAUGAUUCAGCUGCCCGAGCUUCUGCUCUACACAGACAUGUGGUUGUGAUCUGAAUCCUCUUGGACCAGACAGCCGAAGGCCAUACCCCAGAGGCGAUGAAGACAAAGCAGAAGGAGGCUGGCUCCUCGGAUAAUCUCCUGAAAGGGAGCUGCCAUGCCAGCCAGAUGGCAAGGGAGAAUUAAACCUUAUGUGUUCAAGCCACUUUUGUUCUGUCGAACGCUUUCAAGCCUGAGCUCAGUUAAUACUCAUGGCAACUAAUUUGAGUCAGACUUCCUACUGUUAAACCAGCCUUGCAUUCCUCUGGUAAAUCUACUUGGGUCAUAAUAUUUUGUGUUUUGCUUGUAUGCAUGUUUCACAUUGCCGGAUUUAAUCUUUAGAUUAUUAUUUAUGAUUUUUACUAUGAUCAUAAAUGAAUCUAGCCUAUAACUUGCCCCUUCUUGUGCUGUCCUUUCCCAAUCUUGAUUAUCAAAGUGAUUUUAGCUUCACUAGAUGAUUUGGGCAGGUGUUUCUUGUUUCUAGUUUCUGAAACAGUUGAUUCAGAAUCGCGAUGUUAUACUUAUCAAAUAUUUCAGAGACCACCCUCUAAAAUUCGUGGAUUCUGAUGAUAUAUUUUAUGUGUAUAUUUGGAAUUAUCUUUAAUGGGCAGGGAUUUGUUUUUCCAGAUAGUUAUGUUUACUUUUUUGCUUCUGUUUUUAAAAACCAAAUGAUGGACUUUGUUUGGAUUUCACCAGGUUUCCUGCUAAGGUACUUGUUAUGAGCCAGGACCCAGUCCCGGAUCCCACAGGGAUUUUGUUUUCUCAUGAUUACAUUGUGGUGGUGGAUUUGGGGGGAGGGAGUUCUAUGGCCUCGAUGCUGUACGUCAGGGAGCCUGGGCUGGUGCCACAGCUUGUAGCAGUGACAUUAACCUUCAUCUCUGUCAGGGUUUACACUGCAAAAUCGCAAUUUUUCCGUUUGUAUUUGAGGAAUGCUUUAAGGCUGCCCAAACAUCCCAUUUCUCCGUAAGCUUUUACCCGCUAAUUCUAGCUUCCAUGGGUGGAUCUUGCCUACAGCGGUUAUCACCACGGUUUUGUAGAGGUGAUUUUAAAAUUGCCAUCCAUCCAACCAUUUUAUGUGUAUUAAUCGGAAUAUUACCGUGAAGA